rnacentral:rRNA from 1 species
GAUGAACGCUAGCGGCAGGCCUAACACAUGCAAGUCGAGGGGUAAAGGAAGCUUGCUUCCUUGAGACCGGCGCACGGGUGCGUAACGCGUAUGCAAUCUACCUUGUACAGAGGAAUAGCCCAGAGAAAUUUGGAUUAAUGCCUCAUAGUAUAAUUGAAUCGCAUGGUUUAAUUAUUAAAGUUUCGGCGGUACAAGAUGAGCAUGCGUCCCAUUAGUUAGUUGGUAAGGUAACGGCUUACCAAGACAAUGAUGGGUAGGGGUCCUGAGAGGGAGAUCCCCCACACUGGUACUGAGACACGGACCAGACUCCUACGGGAGGCAGCAGUGAGGAAUAUUGGGCAAUGGGCGGAAGCCUGACCCAGCCAUGCCGCGUGCAGGAAGACGGUCCUAUGGAUUGUAAACUGCUUUUAUACGGGAGAAACACCCCCUCGUGAGGGACUUGACGUACCGUAGA